UACAGAGGCCCCAAGCAUUAUCCGGAUUUACUGGGCGUAAAGGGUGCGUAGGCGGUGUUAUUAGUCGGGUGUUAAAUCCUGGGGCUCAACCUCAGAAUCGCAUUCGAAACGGUAACACUAGAAGAAGUCAGAGGUGAACAGAACUCUCGGUGUAGGGGUGAAAUCCGUUGAUAUCGAGGGGAAUACCAAAUGCGAAGGCAGUUCACUGGGGCUUUCUUGACGCUGAGGCACGAAAGCGUGGGUAGCGAAUCGG
rnacentral:rRNA from 1 species